AUCACUAAGAGAUGGAACCGCGGUGCAUUAGCUAGUUGGUAAGGUAACGGCUUACCAAGGCAAUGAUGCAUANNCGAGUUGAGAGACUGAUCGGCCACAAUGGGACUGAGACACGGCCCAUACUCCUACGGGAGGCAGCAGUAGGGAAUCUUCCACAAUGGGCGCAAGCCUGAUGGAGCAACGCCGCGUGUGUGAUGAAGGNNNNCGGCUCGUAAAACACUGUUAUAAGAGAAGAACGGCA
rnacentral:rRNA from 1 species